ensembl:rRNA 5S_rRNA 5S ribosomal RNA
GCUUACGGCCAUACCACCUUAGGCACGCCCGAUCUCGUCUGAUCUCGGAAUCUAAGCAGGGUCGGGCCUGGUUAGUACUUGGAUGGGUGACCGCCUGGGAAUACCAGGUGCUGUAAGCA